UACGAAGGGUGCUAGCGUUGCUCGGAAUCACUGGGCGUAAAGCGCACGUAGGCGGCUUUCUAAGUCAGGGGUGAAAUCCUGGAGCUCAACUCCAGAACUGCCUUUGAUACUGGGAAGCUUGAGUCCGGAAGAGGUGAGUGGAACUGCGAGUGUAGAGGUGAAAUUCGUAGAUAUUCGCAAGAACACCAGUGGCGAAGGCGGCUCACUGGUCCGGUACUGACGCUGAGGUGCGAAAGCGUGGGGAGCAAACAGG
rnacentral:rRNA from 1 species